rnacentral:rRNA from 1 species
UAGGGAAUCUUCGGCAAUGGACGAAAGUCUGACCGAGCAACGCCGCGUGAGUGAAGAAGGUUUUCGGAUCGUAAAACUCUGUUGUUAGAGAAGAACAAGGACGUUAGUAACUGAACGUCCCCUGACGGUAUCUAACCAGAAAGCCACGGCUAACUACGUGCCAGCAGCCGCGGUAAUACGUAGGUGGCAAGCGUUGUCCGGAUUUAUUGGGCGUAAAGCGAGCGCAGGCGGUUUCUUAAGUCUGAUGUGAAAGCCCCCGGCUCAACCGGGGAGGGUCAUUGGAAACUUGGAGACGUGAGUGCAGAAGAGGAGAGUGGAAUUCCAUGUGUAGCGGUGAAAUGCGUAGAUAUAUGGAGGAACACCAGUGGCGAAGGCGGCUCUCUGGUCUGUAACUGACGCUGAGGCGAGAAAGCGUGGGGAGCAAACAGG